UACGUAGGGGGCAAGCGUUGUCCGGAAUCAUUGGGCGUAAAGCGCGUGUAGGCGGCCAGGUAAGUCCGUUCUGAAAGCCCGGGGCUCAACCCCGGGAGGCGGAUGGAUACUGCUUGGCUCGAGUCCGGAAGAGGCGAGUGGAAUUCCCGGUGUAGCGGUGAAAUGCGCAGAUAUCGGGAGGAACACCAGUGGCGAAGGCGACUACCUGGCCUGUUCUUGACGCUGAGGCGCGAAAGCUAGGGGAGCAAACGGG
rnacentral:rRNA from 1 species